CACCUGCCCUUGAGACGGGGAUAACUCCGGGAAACCGGAGCUAAUACCGGAUAACACAUAUCUUCGCAUGAGGAUAUGUUAGAAGGUGGCUUUUAGCUACCACUCAAGGAUGGGCCCGCGGCGCAUUAGCUAGUUGGUGAGGUAACGGCUCACCAAGGCGACGAUGCGUAGCCGACCUGAGAGGGUGAUCGGCCACACUGGGACUGAGACACGGCCCACACUUAUACGGGAGGCAGCAGUAGGGAAUCUUCCGCAAUGGACGAAAGUCUGACGGAGCAACGCCGCGUGAGUGAUGAAGGUUUUCGGAUCGUAAAGCUCUGUUGUUAGGGAAGAACAAGUACCUGUUGAAUAAGCAGGUACCUUGACGGUACCUAACCAGAAAGCCACGGCUAACUACGUGCCAGCAGCCGCGGUAAUACGUAGGUGGCAAGCGUUGUCCGGAAUUAUUGGGCGUAAAGCGCGCGCAGGCGGUUCCUUAAGUCUGAUGUGAAAGCCCACGGCUCAACCGUGGAGGGUCAUUGGAAACUGGGGAACUUGAGUGCAGAAGAGGAGAGCGGAAUUCCACGUGUAGCGGUGAAAUGCGUAGAGAUGUGGAGGAACACCAGUGGCGAAGGCGGCUCUCUGGUCUGUAACUGACGCUGAGGCGCGAAAGCGUGGGGAGCGAACAGGAUUAGAUACCCUGGUAGUCCACGCCGUAAACGAUGAGUGCUAAGUGUUAGAGGGUUUCCGCCCUUUAGUGCUGCAGCAAACGCAUUAAGCACUCCGCCUGGGGAGUACGGUCGCAAGACUGAAACUCAA
rnacentral:rRNA from 1 species